AACGGACGCUGGCGGCAGGCCUAACACAUGCAAGUCGAGCGAAGCCUUCGGGCUUAGCGGCGGACGGGUGAGUAACGCGUGGGAACGUGCCCUUUGGUACGGAAUAGCCCCGGGAAACUGGGAGUAAUACCGUAUGUGGUCGAGAGACGAAAGAUUUAUCGCCAAAGGAUCGGCCCGCGUUGGAUUAGGUAGUUGGUGGGGUAAUGGCCUACCAAGCCGACGAUCCAUAGCUGGUUUGAGAGGAUGAUCAGCCACACUGGGACUGAGACACGGCCCAGACUCCUACGGGAGGCAGCAGUGGGGAAUCUUAGACAAUGGGGGAAACCCAGAUCUAGCCAUGCCGCGUGAUCGAUGAAGGCCUUAGGGUUGUAAAGAUCUUUCGGUGGGGAAGAUAAUGACUGUACCCACAGAAGAAGCCCCGGCUAACUCCGUGCCAGCAGCCGCAGUAA
rnacentral:rRNA from 1 species